GAUGAACGCUGGCGGCGUGCCUAAUACAUGCAAGUCGAGCGAACAGACGAGGAGCUUGCUCCUCUGACGUUAGCGGCGGACGGGUGAGUAACACGUGGAUAACCUACCUAUAAGACUGGGAUAACUUCGGGAAACCGGAGCUAAUACCGGAUAACAUGUUGAACCGCAUGGUUCAACAGUGAAAGACGGUCUUGCUGUCACUUAUAGAUGGAUCCGCGCCGCCUUAGCUAGUUGGUAAGGUAACGGCUUACCAAGGCAACGAUGCGUAGCCGACCUGAGAGGGUGAUCGGCCACACUGGAACUGAGACACGGUCCAGACUCCUACGGGAGGCAGCAGUAGGGAAUCUUCCGCAAUGGGCGAAAGCCUGACGGAGCAACGCCGCGUGAGUGAUGAAGGUCUUCGGAUCGUAAAACUCUGUUAUUAGGGAAGAACAAAUGUGUAAGUAACUAUGCACGUCUUGACGGUACCUAAUCAGAAAGCCACGGCUAACUACGUG
rnacentral:rRNA from 1 species